AUGAAAUCUGAGCUAUUGGAAAUGGAACUUGAAAAAGAAAAGUUAAAACAUUCACAAGCUGCAAGGUUUGGAGAAGAAAAUGCUACCAAAUCUGAACCACUCUGUGUAGAGUCAAAUCUUAGUGAUCAAGUUGAAUCACCCAUUAAUGAAGAACCCAUCAAUGAGGCUGAUCCAGAACAUUUUGCAGAGCCAUCCAUCAAUGACUCUUGCGCUGUCACAGUUAAAUCUGAAACGCAAGAAAUACCUUCUGAAAAUGAAGAAAUUGAAAAGCCACCAGCACCAAUAGAUGCAUGGGUUGAGAUGGAAUAUGUUGAAGUGGAACAACCUCAUGGAGAAUCAAACCUUCGUCAUCAAGAUGAAUCUGUACCUAAUACAGAGGAAUCCUUCAAUGAGACUAGUUCAGAACUUGUUGAAGGACCGUUCAUUGAGGAGUCUUGCACUAUUGUAGUAAAAUCUGAAAUGCAAGGUAUACCUUUUGAAAAUGAAGAAAUUGAAAAGCCACAAGGGCCAAUUGAUGCAUGGAAUGAGGUGGAAUAUGUUAACAAAACUGAACAAUCGUGUGAAGAGUCCAAUCUCAGUCAUCAAGUUGAAUUAGUAUAUAGUACUGAAGAACCCAUCAAAGAGUCUAGUCCAGAACUGGUUGAAGAACCAUUCACUGAUGAGUCUUGCACUAUUACAGUGAAUUCGGGACUACAAGCCAUACCUUUUGAAAAUGAAGAAAUUGAAAGACCGCAAGCAACAAUUGGCUCAUGGACUGAGAAGGAAUCUAUUGAGCACAGUAAAGAUAUCCGAGAGCAACAAGAAUCCACUGAGUCUGAAACAGAGGCAAUUGUUAAACCAAACUUUGACACCAAGUCCAGCAGUCCAGCAUCCGAAGAAUCGGCGAAAAACCAACUGGGUGAUAUUAUCAAAGAAGAUUUCACUUUUGACAGUGUAGGUGUGUCAAGGGACGAUGUUAGUCCACCCAAAGAGAAAUUAUACCCGGAUGGAGAGGAGAUGGACACGUGGGACAGUGUUAUAGAACAAAAUCAAGACGUCAAGGCAGAAAAUGCGGAAGAGCCAGAAGAGGCAACAAGGCGACAAGCUGAACCAGAGGAAGACAUAUCAGCAAGAGAGGCUCAGCAGCAGCAGCAACAUCAACCACAUCAGCAAGAUAUGAUUCAUGAUACAGAGAUGGAAGCAAAAACAGAAGCCCAAACUGAAGAAAGUAACAAUUUAAUAAAAGAGGAAAAUCCUGACAAAAGCCAAGAUGACGAACAAGAAGAUUCCCAAAAUGUCUCUGUGUCGUGGCGUACUGAGCUGGAAGGGGACAGCUAUGCUCAGGAUAACACACUCGCUGAUACCAGACCGUUGAUUAGAUACAAGAGUGACGACACUGACGUCAACACUCAGGCGUCUCAUGUUGACGAUGCCGAUGAUUCCAGCGACAGUGAGCAAGAUGAGAAAGUUGGAGAGAUGCUGAGCGGAGCAUUGAUUGAGGAUAAGUCUAGAAAGUUUGGAACUAUGGAGGAUCUGUGCGAAGAGGCGGAGGGAGAAGUUUUGGAUGAGGAGUAUGAUUUAGAAUACCUGAGAAAAGAUGGAAAGGAUGAAUCACAAGUAAAUUCUGAUGACUCUCAAGAGGAGGAGGUCAAAACUGUGGUUGACGUAGAACUGGAUACAGACAAGCUUGUGGAGCAGGAAUUAGAGAAUCUGACGACGGAAUGGUAUACCACACAGUUUGCGCUACACCAGGCAAGCACAAAUGACUCAUCGGUUCUUGAAAGUCUUGCGGAACAGCCAAAAGCUUGGGAAGAAGCUCUGCAAGACACGGCAGAAACCCUUGACAUGGAAGAUUUCUUCACAAGUGAAGCUCAAGCUGAACAAAAGGGUGAUGAGCUCGUUGAAGAACUUAAACCAGAUAAAGAAGAGGAGGAUGAAGAAUUAGCAGAAGUAGAGGGAGAUAAACAUGCUAUAUCCAUGGUGACGCAUUGUGACACUACAGAAGAUAUCAUAGAAGUAAGAAAAGAGUUUACAUUGUCUUCUGCAAAUCAAAAUCUGUCUUUUGAUAAAGCCUCUAUUGAACAGCAAGAGCAAGAAAACGUGGAAGAAGAGUUGGAAGAAAAACAGAUGAUUGUCCAGAACUUGCCAAGUAACCAAGAGAGUCAAUCCGUUGUUGACAUCAAUCAGUCUGACAAACCAGUUUCUUCGAAGUCAGAGAUGCAGCCUGAUAAUGGGGUUGAAAUGAGGGAUACUACACCAGAAGAAAUUUUUGUGCCCGAAGAAGUCGCUAAAGAAUUCCCUAAAGUUUCAACAACAACUGAGUGGGAAGUUGAAGUGGAAUAUCCUAUGGAAAAUGUUUGUAGCGAAGAGAAUAAGAUUGUCAAAGAAGGCCUCUCCAGUGAUGACAAAGUUGAUUAUGAUUCCUUGUCGCCCACAGAUGAGCCCCUAAAUGCGUCCCCUGAAAGUGUCCGUGAAAACGAGGAUCUAUUUAUUGUCAAAGGCUCAAAAGCACGGCUCAAAACAAAUAGCAACGCUAACCUGGAUAAUCUGUUCAGCUUCGGAGGCAAUGAUGAUUUCUGGGUGUCUCCUUUGGAAACGGGUGCCACCUAUCAACCGGAUGUCGUAGAUUCAAAGCAUGCAGAGUGGGAGCUAGGUUAUGGAGAUGUAGAAGCUAGGGAGUCAGAACAUUUACUUUCAAAAUCAGAUAUGGCAUUUGAACAGAAAGAGGUUACACAAAUUAAAGGUGCUGCUAAGGGAGAGAUUGUCCAUUCUGAAGAAUCUGAAGAUGACAGCGAAGGAAUGUCUUCUGGCGAGGAAUAA
ensembl:lncRNA